CAGUGAUGUUUGGGACCCAGGUGCACUCCAUCUGCACAGAUGAGACGGCUGCAGAUGAUCACCCAGGAAGAGAAUGCAGAAUGCCCAAAGCAAACCAUCUCAGCUGGUCACUGCUUCUGUGCCAAGAAGGGAGGCCUGGCGAGGGGCCAGUCAGGAAGCAGCAUGGCAUCACAUGCUCAUGACCCACAUGAAGGUCCCUUUAGACUUGUGUCAACAAGAUCCAUUUUCUGAAACAACUAUUUUUGUUCUGAUUAUAAAAGUAACAUUGGCUCAUUGGUAAAACUUGGAUUGUGUGAGAAGUCUACAGAAAUAAAUACAAAUCCUCUAGAAUUCCAUCCCCAAAAGUAACCACUCAGACAAAUGUUCUAAUGUCAUGUAAAACCAUAUUAAACCAUCUUUUCUAGCUG
rnacentral:lncRNA from 1 species